UUAGUGGAAGCGUCUGGAAAGGCGCGCGAUACAGGGUGACAGCCCCGUACACAAAAAUGCACAUGCUGUGAGCUCGAUGAGUAGGGCGGGACACGUGGUAUCCUGUCUGAAUAUGGGGGGACCAUCCUCCAAGGCUAAAUACUCCUGACUGACCGAUAGUGAACCAGUACCGUGAGGGAAAGGCGAAAAGAACCCCGGCGAGGGGAGUGAAAAAGAACCUGAAACCGUGUACGUACAAGCAGUGGGAGCACGCUUAGGCGUGUGACUGCGUACCUUUUGUAUAAUGGGUCAGCGACUUAUAUUCUGUAGCAAGGUUAACCGAAUAGGGGAGCCGAAGGGAAACCGAGUCUUAACUGGGCGUUAAGUUGCAGGGUAUAGACCCGAAACCCGGUGAUCUAGCCAUGGGCAGGUUGAAGGUUGGGUAACACUAACUGGAGGACCGAACCGACUAAUGUUGAAAAAUUAGCGGAUGACUUGUGGCUGGGGGUGAAAGGCCAAUCAAACCGGGAGAUAGCUGGUUCUCCCCGAAAGCUAUUUAGGUAGCGCCUCGUGAAUUCAUCUCCGGGGGUAGAGCACUGUUUCGGCAAGGGGGUCAUCCCGACUUACCAACCCGAUGCAAACUGCGAAUACCGGAGAAUGUUAUCACGGGAGACACACGGCGGGUGCUAACGUCCGUCGUGAAGAGGGAAACAACCCAGACCGCCAGCUAAGGUCCCAAAGUCAUGGUUAAGUGGGAAACGAUGUGGGAAGGCCCAGACAGCCAGGAUGUUGGCUUAGAAGCAGCCAUCAUUUAAAGAAAGCGUAAUAGCUCACUGGUCGAGUCGGCCUGCGCGGAAGAUGUAACGGGGCUAAACCAUGCAC
rnacentral:rRNA from 1 species